GCAGGCGCGAAACCUUUACACUGCACGACAGUGCGAUAAGGGGACACCGUGUGCGAGGGCAUACAGUCCUCGCUUUUCUGUACUGUAGGGAAGUACAGGAACAAGUGCUGGGCAAGACCGGUGCCAGCCGCCGCGGUAAUACCGGCAGCACGAGUGAUGGCCGCUCUUAUUGGGCCUAAAGCGUCCGUAGCCAGCCGAGCAAGUCCGUCGGGAAAUCUGCCCGCUUAACGGGCAGGCGUCCGGCGGAAACUGUUCGGCUUGGGGCCGAGAGAUCCAAGGGGUACGUCCGGGGUAGGAGUGAAAUCCCGUAAUCCUGGACGGACCACCGGUGGCGAAAGCGCCUUGGAAAAACGGACCCGACGGUGAGGGACGAAAGCUAGGGUCUCGAACCGGAUUAGAUACCCGGGUAGUCCUAGCCGUAAACGAUGCUCGCUAGGUGUGGCGUAGGCUACGAGCCUGCGCUGUGCCGUAGGGAAGCCGUGAAGCGAGCCGCCUGGGAAGUACGUCCGCAAGGAUGAAACUUAAAGGAAUUGGCGGGGGAGCACUACAACCGGAGGAGCCUGCGGUUUAAUUGGAUUCAACGCCGG
rnacentral:rRNA from 1 species